rnacentral:rRNA from 1 species
CGAACCGUGCGAACGUUGUUCGGAAUCACUGGGCUUAAAGGGCGCGUAGGCGGGCUCGCAAGUCAGGGGUGAAAUCCCACGGCUCAACCGUGGAAGUGCCUUUGAUACUGCGGGUCUGGAGGGAGGUAGGGGCGUGCGGAACUUCCGGUGGAGCGGUGAAAUGCGUAGAUAUCGGAAGGAACACCGGUGGCGAAAGCGGCGCGCUGGACCUCUACUGACGCUGAGGCGCGAAAGCCAGGGGAGCAAACGGGAUUAGAUACCCCGGUAGUCCUGGCCCUAAACGAUGGGUACUAGGUAGUGGACUUACAUGGGUUCACUGCCGAAGCAAAAGUGAUAAGUACCCCGCCUGGGGAGUAUGGUCGCAAGGCUG